GACGAACCGUGCGAACGUUGUUCGGAAUCACUGGGCUUAAAGGGCGCGUAGGCGGGCUGCCGAGUCCGGGGUGAAAGCCUCCCGCUCAACGGGAGAAGGGCCCCGGAUACUGGCGGCCUCGAGGCGGGUAGGGGCGGGCGGAACUGUGGGUGGAGCGGUGAAAUGCGUUGAUAUCCACAGGAACACCAGUGGCGAAGGCGGCGAUCUGGGAAGAUACUGACGCUGAGGUGCGAAAGCGUGGGGAGCAAACAGG
rnacentral:rRNA from 1 species